rnacentral:tRNA from 1 species
GGUUGUAUAGUCUAGUGGUUAGGACGUCGGAUUUUGAUUCCGGACGCCUGGGUUCGAACCCCAGUACGACCU